rnacentral:tRNA from 1 species
AGCUCAGUUGGUAAAGCAAAAACUGAAA